rnacentral:rRNA from 1 species
UCAUGGCUCAGGAUGAACGCUGGCGGCGUGCUUAACACAUGCAAGUCGAACGGUGAAGCAGAGCUUGCUCUGUGGAUCAGUGGCGAACGGGUGAGUAACACGUGAGCAACCUACCCCUGACUCUGGGAUAAGCGCUGGAAACGGCGUCUAAUACUGGAUAUGUGACUCGACCGCAUGGUCUGUGUCUGGAAAGAAUUUCGGUUGGGGAUGGGCUCGCGGCCUAUCAGCUUGUUGGUGAGGUAAUGGCUCACCAAGGCGUCGACGGGUAGCCGGCCUGAGAGGGUGACCGGCCACACUGGGACUGAGACACGGCCCAGACUCCUACGGGAGGCAGCAGUGGGGAAUAUUGCACAAUGGGCGCAAGCCUGAUGCAGCAACGCCGCGUGAGGGAUGACGGCCUUCGGGUUGUAAACCUCUUUUAGCAGGGAAGAAGCGAAAGUGACGGUACCUGCAGAAAAAGCGCCGGCUAACUACGUGCCAGCAGCCGCGGUAAUACGUAGGGCGCAAGCGUUAUCCGGAAUUAUUGGGCGUAAAGAGCUCGUAGGCGGUUUGUCGCGUCUGCUGUGAAAUCCGGAGGCUCAACCUCCGGCCUGCAGUGGGUACGGGCAGACUAGAGUGCGGUAGGGGAGAUUGGAAUUCCUGGUGUAGCGGUGGAAUGCGCAGAUAUCAGGAGGAACACCGAUGGCGAAGGCAGAUCUCUGGGCCGUAACUGACGCUGAGGAGCGAAAGGGUGGGGAGCAAACAGGCUUAGAUACCCUGGUAGUCCACCCCGUAAACGUUGGGAACUAGUUGUGGGGUCCAUUCCACGGAUUCCGUGACGCAGCUAACGCAUUAAGUUCCCCGCCUGGGGAGUACGGCCGCAAGGCUAAAACUCAAAGGAAUUGACGGGGACCCGCACAAGCGGCGGAGCAUGCGGAUUAAUUCGAUGCAACGCGAAGAACCUUACCAAGGCUUGACAUAUACGAGAACGGACCAGAAAUGGUCAACUCUUUGGACACUCGUAAACAGGUGGUGCAUGGUUGUCGUCAGCUCGUGUCGUGAGAUGUUGGGUUAAGUCCCGCAACGAGCGCAACCCUCGUUCUAUGUUGCCAGCACGUAAUGGUGGGAACUCAUGGGAUACUGCCGGGGUCAACUCGGAGGAAGGUGGGGAUGACGUCAAAUCAUCAUGCCCCUUAUGUCUUGGGCUUCACGCAUGCUACAAUGGCCGGUAC